UACAGAGGGGGCAAGCGUUGUUCGGAAUUACUGGGCGUAAAGGGCUCGUAGGUGGCCAACUAAGUCACACGUGAAAUCCCCAGGCUUAACCUGGGAACUGCGUGUGAUACUGGAUGGCUUGAAUUCGGGAGAGGGAUGCAGAAUUCCAGGUGUAGCGGUGAAAUGCGUAGAUAUCGGAAGGAACACCGGUGGCGAAAGCGGCGCGCUGGACCUCUUCUGACGCUGAGGCGCGAAAGCCAGGGGAGCGAACGGG
rnacentral:rRNA from 1 species